CUGACCCCAUGCCGAACUCAGAAGUGAAACGCCGUAGCGCCGAUGGUAGUGUGGGGUCUCCCCAUGUGAGAGUAGGGAACUGCCAGGCA
rnacentral:rRNA from 8 species